CUUUUAUAUCCUACUAGUCUGUCGUAGUUUUUGCUAAUGCUUGAAUACAGUUAAAUCUGUCUCAAAUCAGUUAUAGAUUACAAGCCUUUCGUUGAGGACUAUUAUUCAAACAACUUUGUUUCCAAAUCUGGUGAGUAGCAGCAGGGAAUCUUUGUGAUGGGUUCUGAAAGGGUUAUUGUAUCGAGUGAGUUAUACAGUUUGCUAGUUUAGAAAUGUCUCAGCAUGCUCACAAACGCCAUCUUUCUAACACAUCUGUUUGUGGAAAACAGGUUACAGAAGUCCAAGAACUUUAUGCAUGUAACACAAUCAGAGAUAAUGAAUCCCGCAGUUGUGUUUAUGACACAUUGUUUGUGAUAA